CUAGGCUGCAAAACCAUAGCAACAUUUAGGAUCAAGGCAAGUAUGAGAUUUCAGUUUUCUCUGCAGUGUGUGUUUCUGAUCACAUUGAAGCAUGGAGGCUGUAGAUAACUUCACACAAUAGGUACAGGGAACCUGGUCAGAGCUAAUGGGCAGAUGGAAGGAGCAGAAUACAGAUGAAGCUUGGAAGUAAACUUGAAAGAGGCAGCGAAAAACUUGAGACUAGGGUGAAGGUUCACCUUACAGCAGGACAACAGCUCCAGAUACAUCCAGAGCUACAAAGGAGCACUCUAGCUUUGCCCAGCUGACCUGCAGAUUUUAUAUGGAUCAGUGAGGGUUCACUGAGAGAGCUGAGCGCAGAGAAACACGAAGACAGGAAACAGGGGCAUAGAGAGAUGGGAAGAAACGCAGGAAACGUUGCCGGGGACAGGACUCAAACCUGGGACUGCUACAUUGAAGCCCGAAGCCUCAGCACAUGGGCCGUGUGCUUAAACCUCUACACCGACAGCAUCGCACCCUUUAACACCCGUUCACUGAAAUUACAUCUUUUAACAUUUUUAGGGUCGCCUCCCAGUGAGAUAUGCCUGAAAAACCUCCAAUGAGGGGAUGCCCAGGAUAAAUUCUGAUGUGAUACCUGAACCAUGUCAAUGAUUCCUUUUCAUUUUAAGGAGCAGUUGCGGCGCUCUAAGCUUCCUCUAGACGAUGGAGCUCCUCGUCCAUUUCUCAAGCAGUCCAGAUCAUAGGUGACAGUUGAAACAUAGGCAUACUGGAGGGGAACAAUCCAUCAUUUUCCAGUUGAGGACCACGGCCUCAUACAUAGAGGAGCUGGCUCCCAGCUGUCAACCACUACAGUACUUGCCAAUGUUAUUUCUUAAAGAAACCAACAGAAAUACAUUAUAUACAAAAAGAUAAGACCCUGAGAUUCCCAAACCGAACUCCCUCCUCUCCUCUUCCACACUUCAGGGUCCUGUCCAUGAACACCACAAAAAGGGUCAGUGAGAAUGGGAAGUCCUGACAGAGUCCAAGCUACAUAGAGAAGAAGUUUGACUUUGUGCCGAGAAUCUGGACACAGAUUUGUAGCAUUUUUUUAACACUGUAAAUCUAGAGCAGCUUUGUUUGGGAAAAAAUCACAACAUUAAACUAAUGGAAUGGAGAUAGUUUCUACAAUGUAAAAUUAUUUUACAGUUCAAAUAUAAUGGACUACAAGGCAGUAUAUGCAGAAGUGAAUAUGGUGUUUGAACAUGAAUAAAUCAUAACCCAACCGCCUCCCAGGUUGAUGGCAGCAACAUGGUGUAUAUGUGUGUGUGCACAUAGGUCUGAACUAAAGACCUGAUGGGUGACGGAAUUAUUUGCCAUUGCAGCAUGGCUCCCAGGCAGGGGUGCGUGAGCACGUGCAUCCAUGAAUGUCAAAGAUCUUUUAUCCAGACUCACUGCUCCCACUGUCACACACAAUCCGUGCACACAUACAUAUCCUGACUGAUAAACACCGGCAAAAACGAAUGUCAGGAUGUCACAGUGAGUGACAGCAGCGAGCAUGACAAUCCCUUCUGACAGGCUUAGCUGGUAUCAUCACACAGCAAGUUGUGUAUGAGCACAU